rnacentral:snRNA from 11 species
AGACUUAACCUGGCCAGAGAGUUUUCCCUGGGUGAGGCUUGCUCAUUACUCUCCUGGUGUGCUGACCCCUGCAAGUUCCCCAAAGCAAGAUACUUGAGUUCAUAGUUUGUGGUAGUGGGAGAGGGGCUAAAAAACCAAAACAUUUGGCUCCCA